UGACCUUUGCAACACUCUGGCUCUUACCGUUCCUUCCCGCCUUCGGGCCUGGAUUGAACAAUACCUCGUGGUAUAGGCUUAUUUUGCGCAAAGAAGAUCAACGACCCUCUACUCACCGCGGUGUUCUUGGGAGGAGUUUUACUUUUCCUGUGGACACAGUGGUCCAUUUUUUUGGUCUACAU
rfam:Aspergillus sydowii CBS 593.65 ASPSYscaffold_2_Cont111, whole genome shotgun sequence.